CCCUAGCCCUGAUGGGAAUGGAAAGCCUUGUGAAGUAGCCUUGAAUUUUUUCUUGAUAUAAAAGAGCGACCAGAGGAAGCUCCUUUUAUAUCUUAGAAAAAAACAAGGAUACAAACAAGCUUGAAAUGACAGCAGGAUUAGCU
rnacentral:sRNA from 1 species